GGUUCCAUGGUGUAAUGGUUAGCACUCUGGUCUCUGAAUCCAGUGAUGCAAGUUCAAGUCUUGGUGGAACCU